CCAAAAACCUCCUGAAGUUCAGGCUCUGGAAGCUUUUUAGCAUCAAUUAUCUUCAAAAUCCAAAAAGUUGAACUCUGAGCAAGAGAAUUGAUCAUUUUGUAUCUAUUCAAGGCAACAGACUGCUUUUUGUUUGAUAUGUUAGCGGAUUUCUUUUUCUUGAAAGGUUUUGCUGCCAGUGUCAAGUUCCUUCCCAAGAGUGUCUUAAGCACUGCAACCUGAAUGGCUUCACCUCUUGGAUAGUCCUUUGCCUUGAAGAUUUUCUUCUGUAAAAUACCCCAAAUUCGCUGGACAAGCUGUUCGUUACCUUCCGUAGUGUGCGGAUUUACAAAUGCUUGAGCUAGGUUUGAACAGACUGCUUUUUGUUUGACAAGUUAGCAGAUUUCUUUUUCUUGAAAGGUUUUGCUGCCAGUGUCAAGUUCCUUCCCAAGAGUGUCUUAAGCACUGCAAACUGAACGGCUUCACCUCUUGGAUAGUCCUUUGCCUUGAAGAUUUUCUUCUGUAAAAUACCCCAAAUUCGCUGGACAAGCUGUUCGU
rnacentral:lncRNA from 1 species